GAAGGGUGCAAGCGUUAAUCGGAAUUACUGGGCGUAAAGCGCGCGUAGGUGGUUCAGCAAGUUGGAUGUGAAAGCCCUGGGCUCAACCUGGGAACUGCAUCCAAAACUACUGAGCUAGAGUACGGUAGAGGGUAGUGGAAUUUCCUGUGUAGCGGUGAAAUGCGUAGAUAUAGGAAGGAACACCAGUGGCGAAGGCGACUACCUGGACUGAUACUGACACUGAGGUGCGAAAGCGUGGGGAGCAAA
rnacentral:rRNA from 1 species